GAUCAGGGAGCUAGGACCAGAAAGUGGGAGUGCUGUGGAGAAACCCCAGGGGCAUUAGCUCAGCCUGAGGGAAAGGUCAAGGUCAAGGCGAGACAUGAAGAACCAUGUGUGUGCCUCCAGUGAUAAAGCAAGGACAAAGUCACGUGAGCCUGGAGGGUGCUAGCCAUUGUGUGUUAUCAGCACCACACAGAGGAGCUCUGGAAGCUGAGUUUCAUGUUCUAUCUGUCUGAUUUGGGAGCUCUCCUCUAUUGUCAAGAAAAGACAGAGAAGUUCCCCGGGAAGAUGAAGACCAGAGUAACCUUUGAAACCACACAUUGAGACUGCAGGACAGCUAUCAGCCUGGGUCCCUGAAGAAUCAUGUAGACAUAUUUGGUUACCAAUCUGGACCAUCACUGGGACUGUUGUGAGAGACAGAAAUAAACUUCUUACA